UUUCCGUUGGUGAACCAGCGGAAGGAUCAUUACAGAGAUCAUGCCCUCACGGGUAGACCUCCCACCCUGUGUUAUUUACGAUUGUUGCUUUGGCAGGCCGCCUCGGCCACCGGCUCCGGCUGGUGCGUGCCCGCCAGAGGACCCCCAACUCUGUGUUUAGUGUUGUCUGAGUCUUAUUUAAUACGUUAAAACUUUCAACAACGGAUCUCUUGGUUCUGGCAUCGAUGAAGAACGCAGC
rnacentral:misc_RNA from 1 species